CAGCAGCCGCGGGAAUACGAAGGGUGCAAGCGUUACUCGGAAUUACUGGGCGUAAAGCGUGCGUAGGUGGUGGUUUAAGUCCGUUGUGAAAGCCCUGGGCUCAACCUGGGAAUUGCAGUGGAUACUGGGUCACUAGAGUGUGGUAGAGGAUAGUGGAAUUUCCGGUGUAGCAGUGAAAUGCGUAGAGAUGUGGAGGAAUACCGAUGGCGAAGGCAGCCCCCUGGGCCAAUACUGACGCUCAUGCACGAAAGCGUGGGGAGCAAACAGGAUUAGAUACCCCAGUAGUCCCUGUCUCUUAUAC
rnacentral:rRNA from 1 species